ACGCUCGACACCUACGGAGGCAGCAGUGGGGAAUAUUGCACAAUGGGGGAAACCCUGAUGCAGCGACGCCGCGUGAGCGAAGAAGUAUUUCGGUAUGUAAAGCUCUAUCAGCAGGAAAGAAGAAAGACGGUACCUGACUAAGAAGCCCCGGCUAACUACGUGCUAGCAGCCGCGGUAAUCUGAGGCGGGCUGGCAAGGC
rnacentral:rRNA from 1 species